rnacentral:rRNA from 1 species
CAAGAUCGUAGGAGUGCCUCGUACGAAUAAAGGCGGGGCAGUUAUCUCCGAGAGUCGAAUGCGAGCGCGUUAGCGCGAAGUCAGUGAUGCUCUGCUUCCAAGAAAAACCUCGUAGGGAGUCUAGCGGUCAUCCGUACCGUAAACCGACACAGGUGCGCGAGGCGAGUAGCCUCAGGGGCCCGAGAGAACUCUCCUCCAAGGAACUAGGCAAAUUGACACCGUAACUUCGGAAGAAGGUGUGCCCUCGGUAGGUGCAGUUGUACAAACGAAGCCGAAGAGGGUUGCAGAGAAUAGGGGGUAGCGACUGUUUACCAAAAACACAGGACUCUGCGAAGGCGAGAAGCCGACGUAUAGGGUCUGACUCCUGCCCGGUGCUGGAAGGUUAAGGGGAUCUGUCAGCGCAAGCGAAGCAGUGAUCCGAAGCCCCAGUAAACGGCGGCCGUAACAAUAACGGUCCUAAGGUAGCGAAAUUCCUCGUCGGGUAAGUUCCGACCUGCACGAAAGGAGUAACGACUUCCCCACUGUCUCGGAGAGGGACUCGGCGAAAUUGAAAUAGCUGUGCCGAUGCAGUUUACCCGCGGAAAGACGGAAAGACCCCGUGAACCUUUACUACAACUUGACAGUGACACUAGGGGUUGGCUGUGUAGCAUAGGUGGGAGCCUUUGAAGCCGGGCCGCUAGGUUCGGUGGAGGCACAAUGUGAAAUACCACCCUGCUGACUUCUGGUGUCUAACCAUGGCCCGUCAUCCGGGUCUGGGACACUGUCUGGUGGGUAGUUUGACUGGGGCGGUCGCCUCCCAAAGAGUAACGGAGGCGCGCGAUGGUACCCUCAGCCUGAUUGGAAACCAGGCGUCGAGUGCAAUGGCAUAAGGGUGCUUGACUGCAAGAGCGACGGUUCGAGCAGGUGCGAAAGCAGGUCACAGUGAUCCGGUGGUUCUGAAUGGAAGGGCCAUCGCUCAACGGACAAAAGGUACUCCGGGGAUAACAGGCUUAUCUCCUCCAAGAGUUCAUAUCGACGAGGAGGUUUGGCACCUCGAUGUCGGCUCAUCGCAUCCUGGGCUGGAGCAGGUCCCAAGGGUUAGGCUGUUCGCCUAUUAAAGCGGUACGUGAGCUGGGUUCAAAACGUCGUGAGACAGUUUGGUCCCUAUCUUCCGUGGGCGUAGGAAGCUUGAGAGGCUCUGACCUUAGUACGAGAGGACCGGGUUGGACAUACCUCUGGUGUACCAGUUGUUCCGCCAGGAGCAUCGCUGGGUAGCUAUGUAUGGAUUGGAUAACCGCUGAAAGUAUUUAAGCGGGAAACCGACCUCAAGAAUUGGCCUCCCGGGGGGUAACCCCCAUAAAGACCCGUUGUAGACUACGACGUUGAUAGGCCGGGUGUGUAAGUGCAGCAAUGCAUUGAGCUAACCGGUACUAAUUGGUCGUUCGGCUUACUGU